UACAGAGGGGCAAGCGUUAUUCGGAAUUAUUGGGCGUAAAGGGCGCGUAGGCGGCAUCGCAAGUGGAAGGUGAAAUCCCUCGGCUUAAACCGAGGAACUGCCCUCCAACUGCGUUGCUUGGAGGCCGGGAGAGGUGAGUGGAAGUUCCAGUGUAGCGGUGAAAUGACGUAGAUAUUGGGAGGAACACCAGUGGCGAAGGCGGCUCACUGGACCGGUACUGACGCUGAUGCGCGAAAGCGUGGGGAGCAAAGCGGG
rnacentral:rRNA from 1 species